CAGGUAUUCGAGCCUCAUCCUGUCAUCUUGGGGGACACAACUAAACCUACAACACAAUCCUGGAAAAGUCAAGAUACUGAUCUCAAUCCAGUGUGACCCACGUCGGACUUUUGACCUAAAGAACUGAAAGAUGAUAAUUUGAAUUUAAGCCAUCCAGUUCCUACUGAUCCAGCAGCAUCGCAGGCUGGCGAGGAAGCCUUCAGCCCUGGACCUUGCGGGGACAGCCCUGAACAGUAGCACUGAGCUAGCAGCUGCAACUGGUGGAUUUUGAGCAAAGUUUGAUGAGCCCUGAAACAGACAGACUCAUGAAUGUGAUAACUCAUUCAAAAUCGACACUGCUCUCAUGGUUCUCGGGAAACCCCUCCGCAGCCCUCUCUAUCCCUUGUCUACCCAGUGGAGCCCUCGUUCUGACUUCGUCACAGUAAUAGCUGAAGCAUUUCCUGCUUUAAGGGGGUCAUAUGAAUAGACUUGCACCAAAAAUAAACUUACAUG